ACUGGGCAUAAUUCUUGAUAGAUCAUAAUGCCUGGAAUGGUUUAUGGUUAAAAUGAUUCGUCGCCAUAGGAUGGGACUGCGGCCUAUCAGCUUGUUGGUGAGGUAAUGGCCCACCAAGGCGAUUACAGGUACGGGCUCUGAGAGGAGAAGCCCGGAGAUGGGUACUGAGACACGGACCCAGGCCCUAUGGGGCGCAGCAGGCGAGAAAACUUUGCAAUGUGCGAAAGCACGACAAGGUUAAUCCGAGUGAUUUCUGCUAAAGAAAUCUUUUGCCAGUCAUAAAACCACUGGUGAAUAAGGGGUGGGCAAGUUCUGGUGUCCGCCGCCGCGGUAAAACCAGCACCUCAAGUGGUCAGGAUGAUUAUUGGGCCUAAAGCAUCCGUAGCCGGCUUUGUAAGUUUUCGGUUAAAUCCAUGUGCUCAACGCAUGGGCUGCCGAAAAUACUGCAUGGCUAGGGAGUGGGAGAGGUAGACGGUACUCAGUAGGAAGGGGUAAAAUCCUUUGAUCUAUUGAUGACCACCUGUGGCGAAGGCGGUCUACCAGAACACGUUCGACGGUGAGGGAUGAAAGCUGGGGGAGCAAACCGGAUUAGAUACCCGGGUAGUCCCAGCUGUAAACGAUGCAGACUCGACGAUGCAUUGGCAUAAUAGCCAGUGCAGUGUCGCAGGGAAGCCGUUAAGUCUGCCGCCUGGGAAGUACGUACGCAAGUAUGAAACUUAAAGGAAUUGGCGGGGGAGCACCACAAGGGGUGAAGCCUGCGGUUCAAU
rnacentral:rRNA from 1 species